GAUGAACGCUGGCGGCGUGCCUAAUACAUGCAAGUCGAGCGAACGGACGAGAAGCUUGCUUCUCUGAUGUUAGCGGCGGACGGGUGAGUAACACGUGGAUAACCUACCUAUAAGACUGGGAUAACUUCGGGAAACCGGAGCUAAUACCGGAUAAUAUUUUGAACCGCAUGGUUCAAAAGUGAAAGACGGUCUUGCUGUCACUUAUAGAUGGAUCCGCGCUGCAUUAGCUAGUUGGUAAGGUAACGGCUUACCAAGGCAACGAUGCAUAGCCGACCUGAGAGGGUGAUAGCCACCACGGGAACGGAGACCGGGCCCAAACACCUGGGGGAGGGACAAGGGGGAAUUUUCCGGCAAGGGGCGAAAGCCUGACGGAGCAACGCCGAGGGAGUGAUAAAGUUCUUCGUAUCGAAAAACUUUUUUAUGGGGAAAAAACAUAUGUGAAAGUAACUGUACACAUCUGGACGGUACCUAAUAAGAAAGCCACGCCAAACUACGUC
rnacentral:rRNA from 1 species